rnacentral:rRNA from 1 species
AUACGCUGGCGGCGUGCCUAAUACAUGCAAGUCGAACGGGAUUCUUUGAUCAGCUUGCUGAGAGAAGGAUCUAGUGGCGGACGGGUGAGUAACGCGUGGGAAUCUGCCUCUUACUGGGGGAUAACAGUGGGAAACUACUGCUAAUACCGCAUAAGAUCUUCGGAUGAAAGGUGCAACUGCACCGGUAAGAGAUGAGCCCGCGUCCCAUUAGCUAGUUGGUGAGGUAAAGGCUCACCAAGGCGACGAUGGGUAGCCGGCCUGAGAGGGUGAAACGGCCACACUGGGACUGAGACACGGCCCAGACUCCUACGGGAGGCAGCAGUAGGGAAUCUUCCGCAAUGGGCGCAAGCCUGACGGAGCGACGCCGCGUGAGUGAUGAAGGCCUUCGGGUCGUAAAGCUCUGUUCUUGAGGACGAAUAAGCCAGGGAGUGGAAAGCCCUGGUGAUGACUGUACUCAAGGAGAAAGCUCCGGCUAACUACGUG